rnacentral:rRNA from 1 species
CUGAUUUGAUCCUGGCUCAGGAUGAACGCUAGCGGCAGGCCUAAUACAUGCAAGUCGAACGGUAACAUGAGAGCUUGUAGUUGAUGACGAGUGGCGCACGGGUGCGUAACGCGUAUGCAACCUACCCUUUACUGGGGGAUAGCCCGGAGAAAUUCGGAUUAAUACCCCAUGGUACUAUAAAGCAGCAUUACUUAAUAGUUAAAGAUAAUUAUUGGUAAAGGAUGGGCAUGCGUGACAUUAGUUAGUUGGUAAGGUAACGGCUUACCGUUACAAGACGAUGAUGUCUAGGGGUUCUGAGAGGAAGGUCCCCCACACUGGUACUGAGACACGGACCAGACUCCUACGUGAGGCAGCAGUAGGGAAUAUUGGGCAAUGGAGGCAACUCUGACCCAGCGGAACAUGCCGCGUGCAGGAAGACAGCUUUCUGAGUUGUAAACUGCUUUUAUAUAGGAACAAAGAGGCCAUGCGUGGCAAGUUGCGUGUACUAUAUGAAUAAGCACCGGCUAACUCCGUGCCAGCAGCCGCGGUAAUACGGAGGGUGCACGCGUUGUCCGGAUUUAUUGGGUUUAAAGGGGGCGUAGGUGGUUUCCCAGUCAGUGGUGAAAGCCUGCAGCUCAACUGUAGAGGUGCCAUUGAAACUGGAAGACUUGAGUAUGGACGAAGUAGGCGGAAUUUGUGGUGUAGCGGUGAAAUGCAUAGAUACCACAAAGAACACCAAUAGAGGCAGCUUACUGGACCAUAACUGACACUGAGGCACGAAAGCGUGGGGAGCGAACAGGAUUAGAUACCCUGGUAGUCCACGCCGUAAACGAUGCUCACUCGAUGUAUGCGAUAUACUGUAUGCGUCCAAGCGAAA